UAAUGUGAUAGCCGACACGCUUAGCCGC
rnacentral:sRNA from 1 species